CAAUAGCGUAUAUUAAAGUUGUUGCAGUUAAAAAGCUCGUAGUUGGAUUUCUGGUAGGAGCGACCGUGCCGAACUUGAUUGUUCGUGUAUUGUGUUGUCUUCAGCCAUCCUCGUGGAGAACUUUUCGGGCAUUAAUUUGUCGGGAUUGGGACCCACGUCGUUUACUGUGAAAAAAUUAGAGUGUUUAAAGCAGGCAAUCGCUUGAAUACAUUAGCAUGGAAUAAUAAGAUAGGACUUUGGUACUAUUUUGUUGGUUUGCAUACCAAAUUAAUGAUCAACAGGAACAGUUUGAGGAUAUUCGUAUGAACAUGUCAGAGGUGAAAUUCUUGGAUUUUGAUCAGACGAACUACUGCGAAAGCAUUUAUCAAGGAUGUUUUCAUUAA
rnacentral:rRNA from 1 species